AUGUGGUCGUUGUUGUGUAAUCUCCGCGCAUCCUCAUCUCUCCCUUGGAUGGCAGUGGGAGACUUCAACGAAGCUCUUUGGCAAUUUGAGCACUUCUCGCUUACACCCCGGGCUGAAUAUUUGAUGGCUGCUUUCAGGGACAUGAUGUUGGUGUGUGGGCUGAAGGACUUGGGGUUCAAAUGGCUGCCAUAUACUUAUGAUAAUGGAAGAGCUCGGAGUGCAAAUGUCAGAGUCCGUUUGGACCGAGCUCUAGCAGAUGAUAGUUGGCGUGAUAUUUUUUCUGAGGUGUCUGUGGUGCACUUGGUUUCCCCAGGUUCUGACCACUGUCCAGUUUUGCUCUCACUAGAGCGUGAAGUGCGAACUAUAAACACCCGCAAGUGUAGGCAGUAUGAGAUUUGUUGGGAGAGAGAUGAAGCACUUCUGAUAGUCAUCAAGGAGGCCUGGCAAAGUGUUCCUCAAAGGGCUGAUUUGGGAGGGAUUCAUGUGGCGCUCAAAGAGGUAAUGAACAGGAUGCAUGCGUGGGGACGUCGUAUGUUUGGCAAUGUCAUGCAUGAGUUGUCACAGCUUCGCCGGUUGUUAAAGGAUCAAAGGGAAACAAAUGCAUCAGCUGACAUAAUUAGGAAUACUAUGGAUCGUAUGAAUGAAAUCCUCUACAGGGAAGAAAUGUUGUGGCUGUAG
rnacentral:rRNA from 1 species